UCCACUGCUCAGAGGACAAAGGACUUCUCAGAAACAUUACUGCAAUCGUAUUGCUCAUUUCUUACUCAACACAGUACUACUGAAAAGGAUGUUGCUAUGUUCCCACCUUAACUGCCUUAUGUGUUGUUCCUGUGACAGCUGGAGUCAACAAAGUUACACCUCCACAUACUGCAAGUUUCUGAAAAGAUGCCUCAUAUUUUAGAAGGAUCUGCAUCAAUCACUGGUAAAUGAAACUGAUUGACCCACACAACUGAAAAUGAGAGCAGCAAAGGUGAGAAGUAUAGUCCUCAUUCCUGGAAGAGUUAAUUUCAAAAUGUAACCUUAAUAGUCCUUUAGUUCUCUGGUUUAAUAGAAUCAACACAUUUUUACUUUUUAUAUACAUGAAGUAAUUCAGGCUUCAAAUUCCAGUAAUUUAGUGAUUGUAUCUUUUAUAUAAUCCUAAACUGUGCAAUCAAUAUACACUGUUCAAAAAGCCAAGAGCUACUUCAUAAGAAGUGUUCUGGUGCCACCUAGUGGUAUUUCCUGCCAAAUGGGAAAUACUGACUAGAGAAGGGUUCUCAAAGAGUACCUGCAGACCCUGGGAACUUCUCAGAAAUGCACAUUCUUAGACUCAUUCAAUAAAACUCUAGUGGCACGGUCCAGCAAUCUCUGUGUGUGUGU